AUUUUGUCGACACAUCAAAGCAACUAUGUAUUGACCUCUUUUACUUAAUUUGAAGAACUAAGCAAACCAACAUGCUGAUUUGUUGUGUGGAGCAGGAACAAGAGAUCAUCAUCAUCAUCAUCAUAGUUUUAUACAAAAUAGUAUGCAAGUCCUGUGUAUUAAAGAACACUUCUUUGUAAGUAUCGUGAUGAACUCACUAGGUGAAGAAAUACGUUCUUUCCAAUGGAUAACUAAUAUUUAAAGAUAGGCAUCAUUGGGCGUCAGAACGUCGGGAAUUCAAGUCUUUGAAAUACAUGGAGAAAAAGUGAAAAAAAUUAUUGCAGAAGUCGCUGGAACUACUCGAGACGUAGUGGAACCACAAAAAACUUGCACCAUAGAAGAAUGCUUCGAGAAAAGUAAUAAUAAGGUGGAGAAAGUGAAGAACUGUACAUGGGACAAACAACUGGAAAAGUGUUCUUCAAACUAUCAUGUCAGGCUGAAAAUGGGAAUCAAACAUCUCCUGAGACUUUUUGGGAUAGUGACCAACUUGGUUUAUUCGGUUACAGUCAGAAAUG